CGAAGAUCUGGACUUCCUGAUUUCCAAUCAGGUGGAUUUCUGAACAACGGUUACUGAGCAAAAUACAGCAGGACAUCAAGCUUGGCACAAACUUUUCUUGACCUGUGCUGUAGGCACCAUGCAGAGUUCCUGCCUUUGAGGAUUUUAUUUUGUUUGAGGAAAUAGACGAACACAGUGACUUCAAUGCCGUCCUGGAGAUAUUUCAGGCAGCGGGAACCUUGUGGACAAAGAUAUUGAAGCAGGGAAGUGUAGGGCUUGUUUCAGGAAAGGCGAUUAGAACUACAUGAUUGAAACAGGAAGGUCCAAGGUCAAGGCCAUCUCUCUGGAGAACUGCAAAAGGCACCAUCCCAUUGUCUUCUUGGGAGAAGAUUUGAAGGGAGAAAUGACAUCAGAUUUGCCCAUUUCUAAAAGGACAAAAGCUCUAUAUUUUCCUGCAUCAGCAAAACUGUCAACUGGAGAUAAGGCGUUUGUAACUAAUUCCCAAGGGUAG
rnacentral:lncRNA from 13 species